GGGCGGAUGGUUUAAUGGUAUAAUACUCCCUUAGCAUGGGAGUGGUUCGGGGUUCGAUUCCCCGUUCGUCCA
rnacentral:tRNA from 3 species